rnacentral:rRNA from 1 species
UAUGCUUAGCCUUAAACUUAGAUAACACAUUACACAUAUUAUCCGCCCGGGUACUACGAGCACUAGCUUAAAACCCAAAGGACUUGGCGGUGCUUAACAACCCCCUAGAGGAGCCUGUUCUAGAACCGAUAACCCUCGUUAAACCUCACCCCUUCUUGUCUAUUCCGCCUAUAUACCGCCGUCGUCAGCUUACCCUGUGAAGGACUCAUAGUAAGCAUAACUAGUUUAAACCCAAAACGUCAGGUCGAGGUGUAGCAAAUGAAGGGGGAUGAAAUGGGCUACAUUUCCUGUAACCAGGAUAUACGAAAAGUGCUCUGAAAGAAGCACUAGAAGGAGGAUUUAGUAGUAAGGGGGGAUCAGAGUGCCCCCCUGAAACCGGCCCUUAAGCGCGCA